rnacentral:rRNA from 1 species
AUACUUCUUCGGACAAUAUACAAGGUGCUGCAUGGUUGUCGUCAGCUCGUGUCGUGAGAUGUUGGGUUAAGUCCCGUAACCGAGCGCAACCCUUGUCCUUAGUUACCAGCACGGUUAUGGUGGGCACUCUAAGGAGGACUGCCGGUGACAAACCGGAGGGAAGGUGGGGGAUGACGUCAAGUCAUCACUGGCCCUUACGGCCUGGGCUACACACGUGCUACAAUGGUCGGUACAAAGGGUUGCCAAGCCGCGAGGUGGAGCUAAUCCCAUAAAACCGAUCGUAGUCCGGAUCGCAGUCUGCAACUCGACUGCGUGAAGUCGGAAUCGCUAGUAAUCGUGAAUCAGAAUGUCACGGUGAAUACGUUCCCGGGCCUU